ensembl:rRNA Gm55499 predicted gene, 25553
CUAAGUAAAAUUACCUACUCUGAAUGCUCUCAAUCUGAUCUUAGAGGCUAAGCAGGGUUGGGCCUGGCUAGUCCUUAGA